AAAGUUUUAUAUUUUUGAAGGCUACUUUGUUUAACCGGUUAUAAUUGUGAAUUUAUAGCACAAAGAAAGUUGGAAUUUCUCAGCAAAUUUACUGUAAAGGAUCCCCUUUACAAACUAUUUACGUAAAGGGGUCCCUUUUUUAAGUAUUUGCGGUGAGAUGGGUGUGCUGCCAGCAUGACUGGCGAGAAGCCUCCCCCAUUGUGCCGUCAUUGCUUCCUGCGAGACAGCUUAUAUGUGUUGUAUAUUUCAACUCUGUCGUCUGAAUGCAAAGACACGGCACAGUGAUGAAGUGAAGUGGUGCAUCAGCCUCAACCUCAAUCUCAGGAGGUUGCUUCAUUUACAGUAAAUUUGCCGCACCGAAACUUAUUCAUGGGUCCAUUGGGUGGAUGCAAUAUAGCAAUAUGAAGGAAGGAGACAAUGUAUCUCGCCAGUGGGAGCAGCGAAACAACUUCCACGUCAGCUGUCUCGCCAACGACAAUGGCGGCACCAUCUUCUCUCCGCCAAGCACGCAUCUCGUUAUUCCGAAUGGCGGCACACCUAUCUCUCGUUAUUCCGAAUGGCGGCACACCUAUCUCGCCAAUCCUGUUAAGAUGAGACCCCCUCUAUUCUAAAUACUUGAAAAGGGGCCCCUUUACGUAAAUAGUUUGUAAAGGGGACCCUCUACAGGAAAUUUGCCGAAUUGCAACAGGCACGAGGAGUCUGAAUCGGAGAAUACAGUACUGACACCUCUUAUCUUCUUUUCUGUGGAUGAUGACUUUGAAAAGUAGUAAUUAAAUGUUGUAGUAGUUGUUAAACUUGUAAUAGUAAUUGUUAAACGGAGAGGAAUUUAUUUCCGUCUAAGUGCAGAAGCACAGUAACAAUAGUAGUAAUUUCUUUUUAUUUAUCUACAUUAAACACGCAUUGAUAUUUGAUAGAUUGGUAUAGUUGGA